GCUGUGUCACAGAUAGGAGGUUUUAAGAAUAUAACACAAAAGUAAGACAAAUCUCAAAGGUUUAUUGUAUAAAUAACGUACCACUUGGCAAAGACUGUGUACCAGUUUGACCCGCUGUGCCAGUGUUUUGAAAGAUUAUUUAGCAGGAUUGGCACUGUUUUCAAAGCAAGGGAAGGUGUAACUAAGGGUUAAGGAAGAAAUGACAUGUUACUAAUAUUUACAUAUGAUAUAAAUGGGCUGGUUCACUCAACUUCAGGAGGCUGUGAAGAGAGAAAAGCAGCAUAACAAGAAUUACUUUCUCAAGCAAGACUUCCUCAGUCUUUUGAGUCGCGUGAAGUGCUGUUUAACACACUGAAUAUUUCAGAAGAAUUCAAGUUUUUACAGACGACCUGACUGAAAGCUCUGUUCACCAGAUGUAGGCAGCAGAUGAUUCAUCCAAUUUCUCAUCAUCCAAUAAAUCAGUCCCAAACAUUAAAGAUCAGUGAGCCCACACACCUUUUGAGGUAAAUAGAUACAUUUAAGCCAUUCUACAUUUUUUUAAUUCUUGAAAUGUUCACAUUUUCAGAACCCAAAUCAUGUACAAUCAUGACACUGUGUUAGAAUAUAGAUUUGAAACAGUCUGUGUUGUUAAAAGCAUCCUUCUCAGGUUGAUUACAAUGAGUUAGUUGAAAUUACAUGUACUUCCUUUUUAUUGAGUUUUAAAUGAGGAAAUAAACUUUAAAAAACAAACAAAAAAAAGAAAAAAAAAAAAGCAACAGGCAUUUUUAACAAUCAAGUUAUUAGACAAAUAAGGUUUUAAACAUCAGUAUAAUAUAACUGUAUGUGACGGGGUCCAAGCACCCUCUCAAACAGCGCCCUCAACGGUCUAUCCUGGCCAAGUUACAUUGAGCACUCUAAAUCAGGGAUGUUAAACCCACUUUAGGUAAUGAGCCACAUUACACUUAAUCCAAUGACAGAUGGGCUGGACCAAAAAAAACCCCAAACAGUUUAGUGACCAAUAACAUAUAAAUUUUGCAAAGUGUUCACUCACUUGAACAUUCCGCAUUUUGUAGUGUAGUAAUCUUUAUAAACUUAACAACGUCACAAAUCCACAAAAAAUAAAGCCCAUAAUAGUGAUGUGUCAAUAUAGUUUUCAAAAUUAUCUAUCCAUUUUCUGUACCGCUUACUCUACACAGGGUCUUGGGGUGUCUUGAGCCUGUCACAGAGGACUUUAGUGGGGGAGCCGGCAGUUUCCAAAAUUAUUUACCUAUAAAAACAUAAAAAGUGUGAUUGCAUAAGUAUUCACCCCAUUGAAAUGAAACCUCUAAAUUUAUUUGGAAAGAAUUUUUUUUCAGUAGCUGAGUUCAUGGCCCCAAGUUUAUUGCUUUUAUUUCCUCUGUAGUUAUAUAUAUCAGAGAACAACUCUUUUUUUCUUUUAUUUUCAAAUCUUUGGCUCACAGUUCACAGUUUAGAUUGACGAUCCUAAAUUUAUUUUAUGGGCCGGAUUAUUGGACCAGUCAUGCCCAGCGGGCUGUAUAUUUUGAUACUUCUUGUAUAACUAUCAUAAUAUAUAGUUUUAUACAAUAAUAAUGAUUGGGUGAGUCACCUCACAGCACCUCACAGUUCCAGGAUUCUGGGUUUGAUCCUCAUCUUGGGUUACUGUCUGUGUGCUGUUUCGUAUGUUCUCCCUGUGUUCGUGUGGGUUUCGUCCAGGUUCUCUUGUUUCCUCCCACUGUUGACCAAGAUGCAGGUAGGUGAAUUGGUUACACUAAAAUUGCCAAUAGGUGUGAACGAGUAUGUGGGUCCACCGCAACCCUGAUCAUGAAAAAGCAGUUAGUGAAAAUGAAUAAGUAUUAUUAUAAUAGAUGGUAGUAGAUAGAUAGAUAGAUAGAUAGAUAGAUAGAUAGAUAGAUAGCGUGAUUGAAAAAUAGCAAUUACAUGGCAGACCCCACUUGAGAACCAUUCAGCUACAUGAACAAACCGCUAGUUAUUAUGAUGGGGAGAGAGAGAGAGAGAGAGAGAGAGAGAGAGAGAGAGAGAGAGAGAGAGAGAGAGAGAGAGAGCGCUCGUAUUUAACACAUGGUGAGCUGCUGCCCUCUUUGGAAAUGACUGAAUAUUGCACCUGGAUUACACACUGAUCCAAUUUUUAUUCUCGUUCAAUUUAUUUUUAGAAUCAUAAAUACUGCAAAAUCGUGCAAAUUUCACACCCAAAUGCUUAUGUUGAAGGGGCAAGGAGAAAUGUGACACAACAGUAAGGAAUUCUUACAAAGUAUACACCGACAUGUUUCAUUUCUGUCAUUUCUGAACUGUAUGUUUUCUGUUAAAAACAAAACAAAACAAAAAACCCCGAGUAAACUGUAUGUCUUCUCAGUCUCUCACCUGAGUCGGAAGUGGGCAUUUCCGAGAGAAAAACAGAAAAGGAGAAAAGAGACUUUAAAAAAAAAAAAAAAAAAAAAAAAAAAACCCGGAAAUGUUUCGAAACAAACCUCUUACUGGAAACGGUUCAGUCUUCGAGCUGAAAUGACGGUGUCUCGCCCCGCCCACACCAUGACGUCAGAGUCCUACAUUUACAUUCUAAUAAUACACACAUUACGGUAAUUGGACUGCAGCGACUGUAAUUUAGUUUACUCUCGCACUGUGCCAGCUCACACUGCCAGUCGACAUGUUAGCAGCAACAAAAUGAAGUGUUUGGACUGAGUGUUAAAACUUGUUCUAAUGUAAACAGAGCCUUAAAAAAAAGACAAGAAUUGUUUUUAUCUGUCUGAACACAUUAAACAUAUUACUGUCUCAAUUAAAACAAUUAAAACAAACAAAUUAUUCAGUUUUGUCUUGUCUAAAUCAUGUGUGUGUGUGUGUGUGUGUGUGUGUGUGUGUGUGUGUGUGUGUGUGUGUGUGUGUGUGUGUGUGUGUGUGUGUGUGUGUGUCCUCAGGGUGGCAGGACAAGCUCUUGUAUGUGCUACUGACAGGAAAGUGAAAGUAGAGUCUAGUUGGGAAGGGAGACAACAACACACAUACACACGGCAUACACGGAAGGAGCACACACUUCUUAUUUCUCUUACAUGCUUAUAAGAGCUGGCGACAACGAAAGCUGCAGCUUCGCCUCACUAUGGCGCUGUGGAUGCAGAUUUCCCAGAAGCUCCCUUAUUUUACCAAUGAGACCCUGGUGGAGCUCUACCCCACAGAUACUUUCCCCAUAGACGUCAGGCACUACCUGGCGAGCUGGAUCGAGGAG
ensembl:lncRNA